rnacentral:rRNA from 1 species
GAUGAACGCUGGCGGCGUGCCUAAUACAUGCAAGUCGAGCGAACAGACGAGGAGCUUGCUCCUCUGACGUUAGCGGCGGACGGGUGAGUAACACGUGGAUAACCUACCUAUAAGACUGGGAUAACUUCGGGAAACCGGAGCUAAUACCGGAUAAUAUAUUGAACCGCAUGGUUCAAUAGUGAAAGACGGUUUUGCUGUCACUUAUAGAUGGAUCCGCGCCGCAUUAGCUAGUUGGUAAGGUAACGGCUUACCAAGGCAACGAUGCGUAGCCGACCUGAGAGGGUGAUCGGCCACACUGGAACUGAGACACGGUCCAGACUCCUACGGGAGGCAGCAGUAGGGAAUCUUCCGCAAUGGGCGAAAGCCUGACGGAGAAACGCCGCGUGAGUGAUGAAGGUAUUCGGAUCGUAAAACUCUGUUAUUAGGGAAGAACAAAUGUGUAAGUAACUAUGCACGUCUUGACGGUACCUAAUCAGAAAGCCACGGCUAACUACGUG